rnacentral:rRNA from 1 species
GACGAACGCUGGCGGCGUGCCUAAUACAUGCAAGUAGAACGCUGAAGAGAGGAGCUUGCUCUUCUUGGAUGAGUUGCGAACGGGUGAGUAACGCGUAGGUAACCUGCCUGGUAGCGGGGGAUGACUAUUGGAAACGAUAGCUAAUACCGCAUAAAAUGGAUUAUCGCAUGAUAAUCCAUUGAAAGGUGCAAAUGCAUCACUACCAGAUGGACCUGCGUUGUAUUAGCUAGUUGGUGGGGUAACGGCUCACCAAGGCGACGAUACAUAGCCGACCUGAGAGGGUGAUCGGCACACUGGGACUGAGACACGGCCCAGACUCCUACGGGAGGCAGCAGUAGGGAAUCGUCGGCAAUGGACGGAAGUCUGACCGAGCAACGCCGCGUGAGUGAAGAAGGUUUUCGGAUCGUAAAGCUCUGUUGUAAGAGAAGAACGAGUGUGAGAGUGGAAAGUUCACACUGUGACGGUAUCUUACCAGAAAGGGACGGCUAACUACGUG